GGAAGUAGUAGAAGAAGAAAAUGGGCUACUUCAAAAUGGAGAUUUCAUCAAAGGCGCUGCCCGUGCUCUCAGACACCAUAAUGGGACAGAUAUAAGGAUGCAAUGUCUAAGUCUAUGGGAAUUCCACAGCGCUUUACACAUGACGUGGUAUCACAUGAGCUUUAAACUCAGUUAAUUCUGAAAGGACUGUCUGCAUUGAAAAUGGACCAGGCAUGGCUUACGCUCCAUAACCUUCUACCAACCAAAGUUGAUGUCCACGACAUCUCUGAUUCCUGUUACAAGGGUCUGUACCAGCCAUUGGUCAGUGUUUGUCACAGCUUUGCUGUUACAACCAAUGGGGGGAGACACAACUCUCUGCAGGAGGUGCUGUAUGACAAAGCUUAUCAAGACCAUUUGCUGCAAAGGCCCACAAUAUGCAAUGGAUGUUAGUAAUAAUAUUCAUAUUCACUUAUUGCAAUGCAAAUCUCAAGUUAGGAUUUAAAGGGAAAGUGCAGUCAAAAACAUGAUUUUCCUGUGUUUUGAUAUUGAGAUUAAAAAAAAGUUGCGUUGGA